AGAACGAACGCUGGCGGCAUGCCUAACACAUGCAAGUCGAACGCGUGUAGCAAUACACGAGUGGCGCACGGGUGAGUAACACGUGGGAACCUGCCCUGGAGUGGGGGAUAACCGAGGGAAACCUCGGCUAAUACCGCAUACGACCUGAGGGUGAAAGAUUUAUCGCUCUAGGAGGGGCCCGCGUCGGAUUAGCUAGUUGGUGAGGUAAUGGCUCACCAAGGCUAUGAUCCGUAGCUGGUCUGAGAGGAUGAUCAGCCACACUGGGACUGAGACACGGCCCAGACUCCUACGGGAGGCAGCAGUGGGGAAUAUUGGACAAUGGGGGCAACCCUGAUCCAGCAAUGCCGCGUGAGUGAUGAAGGCCUUAGGGUUGUAAAGCUCUUUCGGCGGGACGAUGAUGACGGUACCGCAGAAGAAGCCCCGGCUAACUUCGCGCCAGCAGCCGC
rnacentral:rRNA from 1 species